rnacentral:ncRNA from 1 species
AUACGUGGAUAGAUUUGCCUGCUUGCAACCACGUCUAAAAAAUGCUAAAAU